CAAAUACUCCCUCCGUCUGAAAAUAAAAUACUUGUCAUCAAAAUGGACAAAAAAAGAUGUAUCUAAAACUAAAAUACAUCUAGAUACAUAGCUUUUAUUUAUUUUGAUGACAAAUAUUUUCGAACGGAGGGAGUACGUA
rfam:Triticum aestivum genome assembly, contig: Triticum_aestivum_CS42_TGACv1_scaffold_404327_5BL